GUCGGGCCGCCUCCCGGCCCCCGGACGAGCGGUGCCGUACCCGGACAGCGACAAGACGGCGCCU
rnacentral:ncRNA from 1 species